UGGGGCACAGUGGGAGGGAGUGGGGAGGGGUGAAGGGUCAGGAUGGGAGGGCUGGGAGAGGGCGUCAGAGAGUCAUGGUCAAGGGUUUGUGGAGGGAGGUGGGGUGGGGUCUGGGUCUGUCCGAACCUCACAGAAGGGUCCCCGCUUCCCCUGUAGCGGGAAGACUCUGCUCUCUGGCUGGAUGGGACCUGCUGGAGUGGCCUGAGUGGACACAGCAGUCACUGAGCAAACCUCAGACACCCAGGGAGCUGCAGCCUGGGCACUCGGAUGAGCAGAGGCCAGCCCCUCCUGCCCACUCACUGCACUGGACAGGCUGCUGGAGGUCUGGGACCAAGGCAUGGAAGGAACAGGGAAGAUGGUGUCCUGAGGGCCGACAGUGGGGAAACAGCCCCUGCUAGAACCCUCAGCACUGGCCGAUUUGACUGCUGAGUGACCCGGAGCAAGACCCUCUGCGUCUCAGAGCCUCACUUCCUGCCUCACGGUGGUCAGGGCUGCGGCAGAGGUUCCAGAGCCCCCGGAGGCAAGCGUGGCUCUCCUGUCUGUCCUCAGCCUCCUCUACCUGACUCUGUAGCUGGCGGGGACUGUCAUCAGCUGGAGCCGGAGCCCCGGUGAAUGCAAAUGUCGCAGGAGCAGGAUCAAAGUGUGAGGACGGCAGGGAGCCCCACACACCCUCCGGACACUUCAGCUGUGCUGGAUGAUCUGAGCCACGGCCAACACCCCUGUUGCCUGUCUUCUCUAGGGUUUUCUUACCUAUUCUUGUUUAUUAUUUUUCAUACGAGUCUUAAAACCCAGUGUCUAGCAUGAAACACUAUGACUUUUUACUGAGACCACGUAACAUUUGUCUAUGAACUUGGGAGAAGUGUCAUCUUUAGCAUGUUGAGAUAUGAGUGUCUUUCCAUGUUCUCAGGUUUAUUAUUGUGUCUUUUAGAAAUGCAUUUAGGGUUUUAUCGCACAGGCUUUGCACAUUUCUUAUUAAGUUUAUGUCUAAGAAUUUUACAGUUUGGUUGUUACUGUUAUUUUUCUGUGUAUUUAUGACAGAUGAAGCCUGCUGUGCUUGACUAGUACUUGUAUAUUCUAUAUAAUGUAUAUAUUAAUCUUAUAUUCUGUUAUGGGCUGAGUUGUCUUAGUGUUUGUGUUUUCUCCAGUAUUACUAUCCUAUCUGACAUAUCAUCUGCAAAUAGAGGUUGAUUUCUUCUUUCCUGUUUUAUGCCUCUGUUUUCUCCUGUCUGAUGGUGUUAGCUAAUAGCUCCAGUGCUUCCCGCUGUAGAUAUGGACAUAGCGGGAGGUCUCACUUCCUUUCUGAUUUACCAGGAGCAACUAUAGUCUUUUUCCAUUAAGUGAGAUGCUGGGGGGUGUGUGUGUGUGUCUGCGUGUGUGUGUAAGAAAUGAUCCAUCAAUUCCAAUUUGUUAACUUAUUUUGAAUAAGGAAUGGAUGUUGUAGUUUCUUUUUAAGUAUCAAUGGAAAUACUCACAUGAUUUUAUUCCUGGAGCUGCUGACAGGUGAAUUAUUAGAAAAAUGUCCUACAAUCAAACCACCCUUGCAUUCUUGAUAUUCCACUUGUAUUGGGCCAUUACUAUUUUACAUGUUUUUGAAUUAUAUUUGCUAAUAAUUUAAUUCUCAUUUUGUAUUAGUAUUCACUGAAGAAAUUAGCUAUAAUUUUAUAUUUUAUCUGUUUUGUUUAAUUUGUUAAAGAACCAGCAUUUGAUUACUUCCUUGUUUUUUAAUUUAUUAAUUUUUUUUCUCAUCUUUUAAAACUCUGCUUCCAUUAAUUUUAUAAUGCUAUUCUUUUCUACCUCUUGAAGUGGAUAUUUGAUUUAUUUUAUUUUAUUCUAUUGGGGCAAAUAUGCCAAGCUUUUAAUUUUCCUCUGAGAACUGUGCAAGUUCUUUGGUCAGGCUGGCUCUACUUCUUCAGGAAUCUUCUGGAAUUUGUGGUGCAGGAUGGUGCCUGCUGAGCUACCUGAUGCACAGAUGUUCGUAACUGUGGAGUCUUCACUAUCACUGGUUGACUUCAACAUUAGCAAGGAGACCUCUUGUCUCACUAAAUAUGUUUGGACCUCAGUUUUACCUACUCAUAUGUCAGGAUCACAGCUCCCACUUUAUUAUUUCCUUUUGCCAGUCCCAUUAUUUUUAUCCUAUUUAACAUGUUUUCUGUGAGUGAAUACAGCUGGGUUUUGCUUUGUGAGCCUCUGCCAACGUGAACCUUUCAGUAGGUGAGCUAUGGACAUUCACAUUUCUUGUUGUGACUGGCAUGUUUGGCCUCAACUCUGUGUAUUAUUUUGUACUUGGUAUGUUGUGCAUAUUUACCAUGUUUGUGGCUACAGGGAGUGGGAAGGUCCACACAAGGGACUGGUCUAGGAGAACAGAGAGGUGAGAGGUGGGCAGCCAGGGUCACGGGGGGUACUCUGAGAGGAGGAGGUGUCACUGCUCUUGGCCAGUUCCCAAGAGGACACCAUGUGCCACACCCCCCAGCAAACACACAGCCUGCUACAGCUCCCCCAGCCCCCAUCCCUCAGGCAGAGCAGCUCAUGGGCGGGGCUGGGCACAGAACUGUAGGGUGGCUGGCUUCUGAGCAGUGGCCUGGAGGCUCCGCCCCACACCUCUGGGCUCCUCAGGAACUUUCUGCAUGCUGCACAGGGGUGCCCGACCAGUGCCACGGGGAACCUGUGGUCAGCCCCCUCAUAGCCACAGCUCACUGAUCCCACCAUGGACGGAGACAGGUGAAACCUUGAGUGGACCCCGGAUGCCCAGCCCAUUCCACAGAGGCAGCCCUGGCCUGGAAGCAGCCUCCUGGGAGCAGGACUCAGUGCAUCUCCGCAGAGCUACCUUCCAGGCACAGCUUGGUUGGAAGCGACCCGGGGCCAGGCUCUGGGCCAGCUGCCAAUGACUCCACCAGGCAGUGCCCAGGCACAGCCACUGGGGUGGCAAAGAGAAGUCCAGGUGUCCAGGGCAGAUGCCAUGUCACUGCAGGGCCAGGUCCUGAGCCCUCACCCCACUGGGGUGGCAGCCCCGGCUCCAGGCCAGCCCAGCACCCUGGUGUUCUCCCAGGCAGGCAGCUGCAAGCCCUGGACCCACUUGUUCUUCCUGAAGGUCCCCAAGAACAUCAGCAGCACCAUCGUGAACAUUCUGUUCCGCUUCAGGUGGACGCACCACCUCACCUUUGCUCUGCCUUCCCAGCAAGCCGCCCAUUUCUUCUACCCAGUCUGCUUCUAGGCCAGUCUGGUGGAGGACUUCUCCAGGGGCAGGAGCCCUCAUUUCGAUAUCACGUGCUGGCACCUGAGCUGGCACCUGA